AUGGAGGUUGAAGAGAGGAUGAAAUGUUUUCAAAAGUUUCCUGAACAUCAUCAGAUGAUCCUCGACUGACUGAAUAAACAGCAAGAUCGGGACUGGUUUACUGACAUCAUCCUGAUUGUCAACAGACACCAUUUUAAGGCUCACAAGGCUCUUUUGGCUGCUUGCAGUAAGUUCUUCUAUAAAUUCUUUCAAUUUACCCAGGAACCUUUGGUGGAGAUAGAAGUUGUUGGUAAAAUGACCUUUUGUAAUUUAAUUCAGUUCACAUAUACAGCAAAAUAAUUGAUACAGGAGAAGAAGAAGCCAAUGAUGUAUGGAAAGCAGCAGAGUUAUGAAAGCCCUUGAAGUCAGGAACAAAGAAAACUCAGCUCCAUUAGAGGAAAAUACCACAAGAAAAAAGGUGGCCAAAUAAAAGGAAGAUUGCAGCAACUUCAAAUGUUAUCACAGAAUCAUUGCCAUCUGCAGAAUCAGAACCUGUUGAAAUUGAGGUAGAGAUUGCUGAAGGCACAAUUGAAGUGAAGAUGAAGGCAUCAAAACAUUAGAGGAAGUGGAUUCUGCCAAGCAUCCAUAAAGUACACACAGAACACAAGUUCCUCUAAUGAUUCUGCUCUAGCACUGUUGGCAGAUAUUACCAGCAAGUAUCAUCAAAGUGACAGAAAAGGGCAGAUUAAAGAAGAAGAUGGCCAUGCAUCUGACCCUACAAGCAUACAGGUAGAAAGUAUCGAAACUGUGGAACGUCAGUUGUCACAUGUGACAACCUUCACAUGUGAAGGACUUGUUCCAUUGUGAGAAAUGUAAUGGUUCAUUUAAAUUGUUUUAUCAUUUGAAGGAACGCAUGAAAUCACACUCUACUGAGAGUUUCAAGUGUGAAAUAUGCAAUGAAAGGUAUCUUUGGGAGAGCACAUGGAAACAGCACCUAAAUUGUUACCAUCUUGAAGAAGGUGGAGUCACUAAGAAGCAAAGAACUGGGAAGAAAGUUUAUGUAUGUCAGUACUGUGAGAAGCAGUUUGACUGUUCUGGACAUUUUAAAGAACAUCUUAGAAAACAUACAGGUGAAAAACCUUUUGAAUGUCCAAAUUGUCAUGAAAGAUUUGCUAGAAAUAGCACCCUCAAAUGUCACCUCACUGCAUGCCAAACUGGAAUAGAGGCAAAAAAGGAAGAAAGAAGCUCUAUAAAUGCCAUGUCUGCAACAGUGUGUUUAACAGCUGGGACCAGUUCAAAGAUCACUUGGUAAUACACACUGGGUGUAAACCCAACUAUUGUUCUUUAUGUGACUUGUGGUUUAUGCAAGGAAGUAAAUUAAUGAGGCAUCUCAGUGACACUAUUUCAGAGCGUCUAGUAAUGGAAGAAGUUCUUUCAGUAGAAACGUGUGCAAACUGAACCUGUGACAUAUCAAUGACUAUUAUAUAACAAAUUGGGAAGGUGCGUGUGCUACCAUUGCUUCAGGUCCAGGUGGAUUCAGCACAAGUGACUGUGGAUUCAGCACAAGUGACUGUGGAACACGUCCAUCCAGAUCUGCUCCAGGACAGCCAGGUACUUUGUUCACACGAGUGUGCUUCCAGAGCAGGUCCAAAUAAGUUAUCUAGAAGUGGGUCGAAUUCAGACUGAAGAAGGUACUGAAGUACACGUAGAGAAGCUUCACUUUGAAUGGAUAAAUCAGGUGCCAGUGGAAGUACAAACUGAACUUCUAGAAGCAGACUUGGACCACGUGACCCCAGAAAUCUAUGAACCGAGAGAAGAGAGAACCUAGCCAAGCAGAUGCUGCUGAGGCUGCCAGGGAAGAUCACGAAGAUGCUGAGGAUUAGAGAGCAAGCCAACAGUGGAUUCUGAAGCUGAAAAGGCAGAGAAUGAGGACAGAACAGCUAUGCUGGUUUUAGAAUGA
rnacentral:lncRNA from 1 species